GGUGUCUGGCAAGGGAGGGGGCAGGUUGAAAACUGCACCCACGUUUGCAGCCUCGGCUCUCUGCUGGAGACAGGAAUCCAGGGCUUUGCCGUCGUCAUAGCAACUAGGAGUUCCGCGGUCCCCCACCUUCCUCCAACUCCUACUUCCCCCGCCGGCCUGGCAGAGCCGCCGCUUCUCUCGCGAGAUUUGAGCGCAGUGCCGAGCGGCCCAGAGGGAGAGCGCGCGGCGGACGCGCCCCGGACGCGCGGUGGCACCGGGAGGCCGGGCAGAGCGGUAAGUGGCUCCCGCGCCCCGGGGUCCGGGCAGGGGAGCGGGGGUGAAGGACUGUUGACAGCCCCCCCCCAUUGCAUUUCUGGCCGGGGCUCGGGUGCAGGGCCCGGAGCGGGAUUCGGGAGGCCGGUCAAAGUUUUAUUUCCGAUUUGGUGGCGUGCUGAUAGCGCAGCCCGGCGGGGGCGAGUCCGGGCUGCACCGCGCACGGCGCGCGCGCACGCACCUAGGAACCCGAAUCUGCAUAACUACCGGCAGAGCGCCUCCGCCAGAGGCCGGGAGACCCGCGCCCCCGUCGGGGUGGCUGCGCCCACCCGGCAGCUCUCGUCUCCACCGGGCACCCUUCCCCUUCAGUCACCUGGGUUCGGUUUCAAAUGUGAAUGA
rnacentral:lncRNA from 1 species